rnacentral:rRNA from 1 species
CCCUUAGAUGUUCUGGGCCGCACGCGCGCUACACUGAUCGGUGCAACAAGCAUCCGUCCUUGGCCGACAGGCCCGGGCAAUCUUUGAACGCCGGUCGUGAUGGGGAUAGACCUUUGCAAUUUUUGGUCUUCAACGAGGAAUUCCUAGUAAACGCAAGUCAUCAACUUGCAUUGAUUACGUCCCUGCCCUUUGUACACACCGCCCGUCGCACCUACCGAUUGAAUGGUCCGGUGAAACCUCCGGAUUGGCGCGUGCCCUCGGGCGCCGCCGAGAAGUUGGUUAAACCUUAUCAUUUAGAGGAAGGUGAAGUCGUAACA